CAUGUUUUAAUACUUGGAGUCUUUCCAGUUUGAAGAUCUUUCUGGCAUACUCUGGAACAUUACUUUUUCUUAUUCCCAUAAACAUAGCUGAAUGUUCAUAAAGUCUUUAUAACAAGUGCUCUGAAGCUGCCAAAUCAAGCAUUUAGAUGGGGAGAGGAAGAGUGUUUCAGAGGUUAGAAAUGUUUAGAGGUAACAAAUAGUGAAAACAGCAAUAGGAUAGUGAAGCAACCUUGCAAAUACAUUUGUCUGAUGAGUUUAUAUUAUAUAUCUCAGAGGUGUAUAGAGGUAGCUGAUUCUUAAUAUGAUAGCAGAUGAAAUUCAGUUUUGACAACUGGACAAUGAUAAUAGAGCAAUUUAAAGUUCUUGUGGUGGUGAUGUAUUGUGAAUGAGUCAUGAUUACUCAAGCAUGAAAACAUCUGUUGUGUACACUGGUAAUCAAAAAGGCAAGGACGGUGUAAAGCUCUUACAAAGAAAGGGAUGAUAAACAUAAUUGCAGGUAUCCCAGUGAUAUUGUAUGCAUAAUUGGCAUGCCAUUUCUUGAACACCUUGUAGAAUGUUCUUAUUCUACCCAGAUACUGUUUGAGGGAAAAAAAAAAAAAAAUCUAAUAAUUUCAGACAUGGAAAGGUUCCAAGCUGACGGAUAAUAAACUGAAUAGAUCUUUUUAGUUUAGCAAAGGAUGUGAAGAAAAUGAUAUCUUAUCUAACUCAUCCACAUCUGAAAAAUAUUACUAUUUCCAAUAAGAAGAAUUCACAGCUCACAGCUUCAAGGUGUGAUAUCCAUGGAGGGUUCUCUGAGGACUUUGCCACUGUUAACCUGCUUUAUGUAGAUUUUUCUUGGACUCAGUGAUGGGAAAUCUUUACUAAACAGAGAAAGAAGUGGGAGGAGGAGGAGGCCAGAUGGGAGAUUGCCAGUUGGACCAGAGCACAAAAAGCAAGAAAAAGCAAGGUGCUGUCCUGAUGACCGUGAGGUCUUUUCAUCACCAGUUGUUCCCUCCAAAUAAAGGAAAAUAGUCUUAAAGACAUUUUUUUUGUUUGUUUUUUUUCAUCAUUGGGUUAGCAAUUUGUGACUGACUGCUGCAACAUGUGGCUGGUGCCCUUUGUUGAAGACUAGCUGAUUGUUGGGGGCAUUAUAUUCUUGUAAACAGUUUUCAGCUGCCUGUUCCAUGAACCAGCCGCCUUCCCCUGAUGAUUAAUUGAGCCAUUAUUCCUGCUAAGUGCUGCUGCUGUUUUGUCAUUCCUGAAUAAGACACGUUCUCUGUUCUCGUGUUUGCAGUGGUUUUGGUCGUGUGCCAACUUUUUGAAGAGGGUUUGAUCUGCGAUUCGAAAUACUUGGCGUUUCCUAAGUAAUUGGAUGAUUUUUGAGACUCAGGCUGUGCAGAGCUUUCAAUUUUCAGAUAUUUUAUAUUUUCCAAGGAUUACAUUACAGGCUAUAGUGCUGACAUGUUUUCAGGAGCAAA